UACAGAGGGUGCAAGCGUUAAUCGGAAUUACUGGGCGUAAAGCGUGCGCAGGCGGUGAGCUGUGUCCGAUGUGAAAGCCCCGGGCUUAACCUGGGAAUGGCAUUGGAAACUGGCUCGCUGGAGUGUGGCAGAGGGGGGUGGAAUUCCGACGUGUAGCAGUGAAAUGCGUAGAGAUGUGGAGGAACACCGAUGGCGAAGGCAGCCCCCUGGGCUAAGAUUGACGCUCAGGCACGAAAGCGUGGGGAGCAAACAGG
rnacentral:rRNA from 1 species